UUUAGGUGCUAUCGGUUGUUA
rnacentral:siRNA from 1 species